UUUGGGGAAGGAAGUCCAGUCUGGGGGUUGGGUGGGUGUUCCCUCAGCCACCUGGGGGGAGCCCAUCCUGCCCCAGCUGCUGCCCGCUCCAGAAGGUUCCACAGAGUGCCUCUGGGCCUGUCAGCGCUUCAGGGGCAGCCAGUGCCUCACUUAGUGCCUGUGACUGAGGGUGCUUCUGGGGCUCUCAAAAAAAAAAAAAAAGUUGGAAACAACACAGUUUUGGAGGGAAAGCAUGCUCUCUGCUUUGGUGGGGGUUCAGUCACAGGGUUCACCCCUGGUGCUGUGAGAAGGGCAGUCUCCUGCUGUGGGCUGGAGGAGCGGUGGCUGCUUGCUAACAAAAUGGCAGAAAUGGCAGGAGGAGAUGGCCUGGGCAGUGAGCAGCACCAGCAAUUAUCUUUUUGAACUGCAGCUGUGGAGCUGUGCAUUUCUCCCCCGGGCUGUGGGGCUCAGCUGCUUUUUAGAGGUAAGAGAGGAGAAUAAUUGAGACACAAAGGACAGUAAUCCAGCUGAGCAGCCCAUCUGUUCCUGGGAGGAGCAUAGGAAGGA